CGCUGGCGGCGUGCUUAACACAUGCAAGUCGAACGGUGACGGAGAGCUUGCUCUCCUGAUCAGUGGCGAACGGGUGAGUAACACGUAGGUAACCUGCCCCAGACUCUGGAAUAACAGCUGGAAACAGCUGCUAAUACCGGAUACGAGACGGAGAGGCAUCUCUACCGUCUGGAAAGUUUUUCGGUCUGGGAUGGACCUGCGGCCUAUCAGCUUGUUGGUGAGGUAAUGGCUCACCAAGGCGACGACGGGUAGCCGGCCUGAGAGGGCGACCGGCCACACUGGGACUGAGACACGGCCCACUCCUACGGGAGGCAGCAUGGGGAAUAUUGCACAAUGGGCGAAAGCCUGAUGCAGCGACGCCGCGUGAGGGAUGAAGGCCUUCGGGUUGUAAACCUCUUUCAGCAGGGAAGAAGCGAAAGUGACAGUACCUGCAAAAGAAGCACCGGCUAACUACGUGCCAGCAGCCGCGGUAAUACGUAGGGUGCGAGCGUUGUCCGGAAUUAUUGGGCGUAAAGAGCUUGUAGCGUUUGUCACGUCUGCUGUGAAAAUCCGGGGCUCAACCCCGGACUUGCAGUGGGUACGGGUAACUAGAGUAUGGUAGGGGAGACUGGAAUUCCUGGUGUAGCGGUGAAAUGCGCAGAUAUCAGGAGGAACACCAAUGGCGAAGGCAGGUCUCUGGGCCACUACUGACGCUGAGAAGCGAAAGCGUGGGGAGCAACAGGAUUAGAUACCCUGGUAGUCCACGCCGUAAACGUUGGGCGCUAGGUGUGGGACUCAUUUCACGAGUUCUGUGCCGCAGCUAACGCAUUAAGCGCCCCGCCUGGGGAGUACGGCCGCAAGGCUAAAACUCAAAGGAAUUGACGGGGGCCCGCACAAGCGGCGGAGCAUGUGGAUUAAUUCGAUGCAACGCGAAGAACCUUACCAAGGCUUGACAUAUACCGGAAACACUCAGAGA
rnacentral:rRNA from 1 species